AACGAACGCUGGCGGCAUGCCUAACACAUGCAAGUCGAACGAGACCUUCGGGUCUAGUGGCGCACGGGUGCGUAACGCGUGGGAAUCUGCCCUUCGGUUGGGAAUAACUGAGAGAAAUUUCAGCUAAUACCUUAUAAUGUCUUCGGACCAAAGAUUUAUCGCCGAGGGAUGAGCCCGCGUAGGAUUAGGUAGUUGGUGGGGUAAUGGCCUACCAAGCCGACGAUCCUUAGCUGGUCUGAGAGCAUGAUCAGCCACACUGGGACUGAGACACGGCCCAGACUCCUACGGGAGGCAGCAGUGGGGAAUAUUGGACAAUGGGCGAAAGCCUGAUCCAGCAAUGCCGCGUGAGUGAUGAAGGCCUUAGGGUUGUAAAGCUCUUUUACCCGGGAUGAUAAUGACAGUACCGGGAGAAUAAGCUCCGGCUAACUCCGUG
rnacentral:rRNA from 1 species